rnacentral:rRNA from 1 species
GUAGGUGUGCCUGACUCUGCUUGGCCAUCCUGGACAGCCGUAUUGUCAUGCUUGCAGGUGGGUCUGUCUGGCUCGAGGCCGGGAUAGGUGGGAGGGUCUCUGGGGUUAGGGUGUGGGUCGUUGUAAUCCUUUAAGGUCCACCAUUCGCGAAGACGUCUCUCCAGAUCAGAAAAAAACGCUUAGGGACUAAAGCUAGGUGCACGAGCCGGAUUAGAUACCCGGGUAGUCCUAGCCGUAACCGAUGCUCGCUAGGUGUCGGCAACGGUGCGUCCGUUGUCGGUCCGUA